CCUCCCGCCCCGCUGGGCCCGCUGCGGGCGGCCGCCGGGGAGCCGCGCCUCCCCCCGGCUCUGUAACAACAGGGGCUUCCCACAGAACCGCCCCCAGCGGUGCUCGGGUUGGGGGGCGGCCGGCUCGGGCCGUGUGUCCCGCCCCUGGGCUCUGGGGGCAUAGGCCUCAGGGCCGCCGGCAGGCCGGCGUGCUCCCAGCCGCACCGGGGCGGAGGCCUGGAACGGUCAGGCUGUCCUGGGAGGGGACGGGCACCUCAGCGUGUGGCGGCGGGCAGGUGGCCUCUCCGCUGGGGCUGGCUGGCACGGGUGGGUGUCCCCUGCCCCGCUCCUGUGGCCGGCACCGGCCUGGGCUGCUGCACCCGCCUUCCCGCCUUCCAGCAGAGCAAAUGAAGCUGCUUUUCUCCAGAUGGGUGCAGGGUGCAAAAUUGCCUGGGACAGAUGGGCAGAGAGCGUGGUGGUGGAUGGGGCCGGCUGGGCCCUAUGGGAGCACUUUUCAAGCAAACUAUAUUUUCAUAUAGCAGUAGCAAGAGUUUCACGUUCAGGCUUACAGACCGCUGGUUGUGCCUGAAUGUAGAGGCCCAUAUCCUGCUGCAGAUCGGUGACUUGUAAUCAGAGCAAGCAAGGGACAGUGCAGAGAGCAACAGCAAUUCUCUGGUGGAAGGAUGUGAUAAGGAGAACAAGGAGGAAAAGAGGAGGUUCUGCACCCCAGGAAGGCUGUACUCCAUUGUAUCUGCUUUUGAAAACUAGAGAAAUCUCAGAAGACCAGCCCAGAAGUGAAUUGAGAUUGAAUGUCCUGAAGACCUCCAUCUGUUUGGUUUAUCAAAAAUGAGAUUAAAGCAAGAGCGGAGAUGGGGUGCAAGCACAGGCACAGUGGCAGUGGUCUACAAUUAACCACGCAACAAGCAAAGAAGAGCUGGAGCUGAAUUGGAAGGACUCUCGUUCCCAGGAGGUUUCUCCCGUCUCAGUCCCAUGGAUAUGGUGGCUGUUCCCAUGUGUGUGCCAGUGCAAAAGACUUAGUUUGUCUUCUAAAGAGCCAGGUUACAUUCAAGAACAUGCACACAUACUUCACUGGCGUGAACAGCAAAACAGAUAGAACAGUACUUUUACCAACACCCACUUAGUGCCUGAGGGAAAGGCUAUGGAUGUUGUCUACCUGGACCUUAGUAAAGCCUUGACACGGUCUCCCACAGCAUUCUCCUGGAGAAACUGGCUGCUCGUGGCCUGCACGGGUGUACUUUGUGCUGGGUUAAAAGCUGGCUCGACGGCCAGGCCCGAAGAGUGGUAGUAAAUGGGGUUACAUCCAGCUGGCAGUGGAUCACAAGCGGUGUUCCCCAGGGCUCAGUGCUGGGGCCAGUCCUGGUUGAUAUCCUUAUUGACGAUCUGGACGAGGGGACCGAGUGCACCCUCGGUCGGUUUGCAGGUGACACCGAGCUGGGGGCAGUGCUGACCUGCGGGAGGGCAGGGGGCUCUGCAGAGGGGGCUGGGCAGGCCGGGGCCGAUGGGCCGAGGCCACUUGUAGGAGGCUCAACAGGGCUCAGUGCCGGGUCCUGCCCCUGGGUCACACCAGCCCCGCGCAGCGCGACGGGCUGGGGCAGGGGGCUGGGAACUGCCUGGGGGGAAAGGGCCUGGGAGUUUUUGUUGACGGCCGGCUGGGCAUGAGCCAGCAGUGUGCCCAGGUGGCCAAGAGGGCCAACAGCAUCCUGGCUUAUGUGUGAAACAGCAUGGCCAGCAGGACUAGGGAAGUGAUUGUCCCUCUAUACUUGGAGGUGGUACAGUCACCGCCCCUGGAAGUGUUUAAAAAACAUGGUGCUUGGGGACAAAGUUUAGUGGUGGACUUGGCAGUGAUGGGUUAAUGGUUGGACUUGGUGAUCUCAAAGGUCUUUUCCAACCUAAAUGAUUAUAUGAUUCUAUUACUGAUGGGGUUUCCUGGGUACUGCUGCCCCUGCCAGAUUCCUCUCCACAAAAUGACCCCAGCUCUUCCUUCAGUUAUCGGUGAAGUUUGGCCACCUCUCACAUCAUUCCCAGCUAACACCUCUGAAAUCUGGGUAUUCUUCAUGGCAGUGUAACUCCCGUCAGCUUCUCACUCUGUUUGUUGUGGUCAGCAAUCUCUCUUGUAGUGUUUCCCACAGUCUGUUCAGUUAGCCUUAGCUUAUGCCAGGCCCUUAUCAUCAGUUUGUGUGCCUUAAUGCAUACCCCCAAAGUUGUCUGCAUGUCACAUCAUUUUUUCCUGUGCUCUUGCUAGCCUUGAUGUGCUGGUCUUCACCAUCCCAUGGUGGCUGUGAGUGCCCUCCUUUCUGACCAGGCAUGGUUUCAGCCCUUUUGAGUGACUCUUUCCCUUUGUGCCUGACCUACCUGCCUGCAGCCUGCCUCAUUCUGCAGGUGCCUGGCGUGGAAGUCCUUGCCUUGCACAGGGGACUGAAUUGGACUGAAGCAUGAAACGACAGAGCCCCGCUGAAUGCUCUGCUUGUGGGAUGAGGGUGCGUGGGCCCCGUGGCAGGCAGCAGCGCCCGGCGCUGAGCUCUGCCUGCUAACAGCUCGCAGGAUAAAAACAAGCAUGGCAUCACAGCCUCUUUGGGAAGUUUGCUGCCACCCUGCUCUCUGCAGCCAUUUGCCACCAGGUCCUUCCCAAUAAACAGACACCAGAGAACGCCGCUA